AUGGAGCAUUUAUAGCUUUGAGAAUGUUUGUAUACGCGCAGGAAUGACAAGUAUGGUUAAGUGAAAUAAGGAAAAAGAAGUGAAUUAAAUUCAUUUUAAUUGUAAUAAAUUUGAGAGAUAAAGCGGUUUUGUAAAUACUUGUAGAAAUAAUUAAAAUGGCAGCAAUAAAGACAAAUCCAUCAAGUUCACCUUCUGUUGAAUUAAGUUCAUAUCGUGAUCAACAUUUUAAGGGUUCAAGGGCUGAACAGGACAGGCUAUUGAGAAAUUCUACAACUUUAUAUGUUGGAAAUCUCUCUUUUUACACUACAGAAGAACAAAUAUAUGAACUAUUUUCCAAAUGUGGUGAUAUUAGGAGAAUUAUAAUGGGCCUAGAUAAAUAUAAAAAGACUCCUUGUGGUUUUUGUUUUGUGGAAUAUUAUCAAAGAGGCGAUGCUGAAAAUUGUAUGCGAUAUAUUAAUGGAACGCGUUUGGAUGACAGGAUUAUUAGAACAGAUUGGGACGCUGGUUUUAUUGAAGGCAGACAGUAUGGAAGAGGAAAAACUGGAGGACAAGUAAGGGACGAGUAUAGAUCAGACUUUGAUAGUGGACGGGGUGGUUAUGGUAAGAUAAUACAACAGAAAGUUACGCCUCUUUCGGAUGGAGCAUUUGGACGUUGAGAUUUUGCAGAUGUGACUAAUUUUCUAUAUACAGUUUUCAAAAAGAAACCAUGUUAAACAGAAAGUUUAACACAUAAAGUAGGAUGAACAAAAUAAAUUUCCUUUUAUUAAUUUGCUCUAUAUACUACUUAUAGUACUGCCCUAAUGGCUUCCACGAACACUUCUUCCAAAUUUUCACGUUUCAAAGCUGAACAUUCAACAUAUUUGUAAGCUUUUAUUUUCUUUUUCAUUUUUUUGCAUUCUUUAAGGGUAAUUGUAUCCACAUUUUCUACAU